rnacentral:rRNA from 1 species
CCUACGGGAGGCAGCAGUGGGGAAUAUUGGGCAAUGGGCGCAAGCCUGACCCAGCAACGCCGCGUGAAGGAAGAAGGCUUUCGGGUUGUAAACUUCUUUUCUCAGGGACGAAGAAAGUGACGGUACCUGAGGAAUAAGCCACGGCUAACUACGUGCCAGCAGCCGCGGUAAUACGUAGGUGGCAAGCGUUAUCCGGAUUUAUUGGGUGUAAAGGGCGUGUAGGCGGGAGCGCAAGUCAGAUGUGAAAACUCAGGGCUCAACCCUGAGCCUGCAUUUGAAACUGUGUUUCUUGAGUGCUGGGGAGGCAAUCGGAAUUCCGGGGGUAGCGGUGAAAUGCGUAGAUAUACGGAGGAACACCAGUGGCGAAGGCGGAUUGCUGGACAGUAACUGACGCUGAGGCGCGAAAGCGUGGGGAGCAAACAGGAUUAGAUACCCGAGUAGUC